rnacentral:tRNA from 1 species
GGCUCUGUAGCUCAGUUGGUAGAGCACGAGACUGAAAAUCUCGGUUGUCGGCGGUUCGAUUCCGCCCGGAGCCACCA